UCUGUGUCACCUCCAGCGAGCCCGCUGCGGAGGCGCUUCGGGGCGGAGGGGCUCCCGGGGGGACGGCGGCCCCCGGCCGGCUCCCGGCUCCGCCGGACGGCUACUCGCAGGGCUCGACCGGCUCGUGACACCGCGUCCAAGGGCUCGGCUAGUUCGGAGGAGGAGACGUUCCGGACACCCGCGUUCGGACAGGAACCGCUGCCCGCGGGGCGGGAGCGGGACGAGCUCCGUCCGACCCAGCUGCCGAACACGUGAAGUCGGGCGAGAUGGUCCCUGCGGGACUGGUCUCCUGACUUCACAAGCUGUACGUUUUGUGUUUAAGGACUAUUCGCGUCUUUUCUGCGGAAUUAGUCUAAAACGGCAGAGGUCACCUCCAGCAGACACGCCGGGCUGCGGCCGAACCGGCUCUCCCCAGACUGCUCCAGCCGACGCUCACCUGCCGCCUGCUCCAGCGCUGGAAGCCGCGGCCUCUCCGGGCGGGCCUGCGCCGCGGCUGCCUGGUAACCAAACAGCUUGUCCUCAGUAAAAGUGAGAGAAGCAGAACUUCUGCCACUUCCCUAGAGGAGAGCUGUUGAAAUUAAAGAAAAUUUGAACCUGACUAAAUUGAGGUAUAUUGCAUGGAUCUGUGCACGCAGUCAUGCUCGCAGAGGAGGGCGCAGCACUGCCCGUACGUGCCAGAUCUCCCCCUUCACCACCCAACCGCUCAGAGUUCGCUUUUGAAGUCUAACAGGCUGGUGUAACACCAGUAACGCCAAGGAAAGUGGCAUCAACUCCGGCAUUUACAACAGGAGUGAUCUCAAAGCAGUAUUAUGAGCAGUAUCGUACGAAACUGCUGCCUUAGAUCUUACUGAGCCAGGGACAGCGGCACGAAGGUAGAGCACACGUACGUGAAGAAGCCUCUCGAUUUAGAAAACUGAACAGCCUACAGUCAGAGGAAGGACUUGAAGGAACAUUAACAAAUGUUCCUUUAACAGCUUUGUGGAUUUACAACACAAGCACGGAAUGAAUUUCAAUAAUAAAACGUGCCUGAUCUACGCCUGCAGCGAUGGGACAUCGCAGCCCCUUCACAGCGCCCAGGGACCGCCGCACCGGAGCCACCACGCGCACCCAGCCCGGGACGGUGCCACAGCCACAGCCUUGCUGGCAGUACGAAUUACCGGAGCUUUGCCUUUUCUACACUCGUUUUUCAGUUCAGAAAAGCCUCCUUGACUUUGGUGAGACUUUGCUUUAACCCUGUCUUGAACUGCGGCAUUAACUUACAGCAACACCUGCGUAUCAAAAAUGCUGCUGACCUCACGAUGGGAAAAAGGAGGAAAAGCAUAAAGAACGGAGCCGCAACUCUUCCAAAAGCCACUACAAAGCCCUGCAAGUCCAGAUCCUCCAAAAAGCACACAUCUUGCUACAAUCAUGUAAUUCAUGCACUUACAUUCUCAAAUGGGCUCUUACCACAUUUAUCAGCUGUAAUGUUAGAGACGAAGAAUGGUUAGAAAAUAAUCCCCACAACUCUGAGGGAACAUGGGCUAGGUCAGAGGAGCGUUUAAGGUGACUCCAUCUAGGUCUUUCUUAUAUUUUGAAAUAUAAGAGACAACCUCCCUACAUGCAUCAAUCCUCAGUACAGCAGAAAUUUUAAAAAAGACUUUCAGGUAACUUGUUUAAAAAGCUGCUUGAAGCUCUAAUUUCUUUUGUUUUUACCUUCCCGAAAGUCUAACAAAAACAUAGAACAUGAAUGUGGUUAAAAUACAUAAAAGGCAAUGCUCAUGAAAAAUAAUGUUUGUUCAAAAUAGAAAAAAAAAAAACUUUAGAGAACUUGGUAUCUAAAUCAGGAACUACCAGUUAAAAGCAGUAUCAAAUAUUCUGUUUUGAAUGGCUGAAUUUCAAAGCUCUCUUUACACCAGAAGAUCCAGUUCUUUUCACACAGAAAUCUACUUGUUAGUGGGAAAGUAAUUUCACCAGUGUGUACCUGAGGUUUUUGCUAAGGUAACCCUUCUCUCUCUCUCUCUCUUACAAAAGCACAGCUGUACGUGGGUCAUAAAUAUGAAACUUUUUCAUAAAUUGUCUAAAGUCAGACUUAAAGAAAAGCAGAUGUUACUUUCUUUCACUAGCCCUCCGCCACGUGACCUCUUCCCGCAGCGAGCUGACGGACGGCACAGCUCCGCUGCCAGAGUUUCAAAUCGCCACUUAAGCGAACGAGGCAACGAAGGACAAAAUAAUGAACUUGCUCUAGGGCCAUCCCAACUCCGUCACGCUUCAAAACAAACAUACCUCUGGUGCAGGAAUGCAUGGGAGCAAUACGCAGCCUCCACGUCUGGGAACUCGCACCACCGUUGGGGUAUGAACUCACUUGCCAUCGUUUCUGUCUUCACAGCCGCCAGGUACCGAGUUCUGACAUUAUCCCAUGCUGUAAACAUCUAAUUCUUCUUCUCCUAAGUACAUCCUGUUUCCAGGACUGUACAAAGUAACUCAUUAAUAAUGAUUCUGUGGAACUCGACAUGUUCACAAAGCAGCUUUCCCUAUGUGAACUUUGUUCUCUAUUUCUUCUACAGACCAUUGCUAUUCCUGUGGCUGAGGGGUGGUUUUGAAAGCUCUACAACUGUUGAGCGAGAUUUAUUGAGAAACUUUGGAGCCCGACGCAGCAACCUCUGUGCCUCAGUAAAAGCUUCUGUCAGCUCUUUUUUCCACUGAACAAACUCUGGGUCACUCUGAAAGAGAUACAGAAGUAGUUUGGCACUUCAUAAUAAACUGCCAAUACUGUCUUCUCUUUUGUGUAA